CUCUGCAUUAGGGGGGCCAGCGGACGUGAUGAUGGUGUUUACGAAGAGGGAUUUCUACCUCACCCUCGCUCCCUAGAGAUAGCAUAUGUAUCCUAAGCCUCUGAGGAAGGGUCGUGUGAAACCCGUAGGACAUGAGAGAGAUUUUUGCACAGCACUUCAAAGUCUGGAAGAGACAGAGUCAAGAGCCAUGGCAAGCCCAGGAGAAGGUAGGCGGGAGGAGGUCUCCAGAGCAUCUGGUGUACGAGACCAGAUUUCAGAUCUGAGCUGCUCCAGGAUGUUUUCUGAGACCUGGGAUGGAAACAGGAUGGACCAUCGAGAACCUGACUGUCCUUGGAUUCCUCCCUUCCGUCGUUCAACAAAUACGUCUUAGAGGCCUGUUAAGUGCCAAGCAGGGGCCUGGAGCCCCAACAUGAACAAGAUAGGGCUGCCUUUGUCCUCUUCUUUUUUUUAUGUUUAUUUAUUCUUGAGAGAGAGAGAAACAGAGUGUGAG
rnacentral:lncRNA from 1 species